AACGAACGCUGGCGGCAUGCCUAACACAUGCAAGUCGAACGAACCCUUCGGGGUUAGUGGCGCACGGGUGCGUAACACGUGGGAAUCUGCCCUUUGCUUCGGAAUAACAGUUAGAAAUGACUGCUAAUACCGGAUGAUGUCGUAAGACCAAAGAUUUAUCGGCAAAGGAUGAGCCCGCGUAGGAUUAGGUAGUUGGUGGGGUAAAGGCCUACCAAGCCGACGAUCCUUAGCUGGUCUGAGAGGACGAUCAGCCACACUGGGACUGAGACACGGCCCAGACUCCUACGGGAGGCAGCAGUGGGGAAUAUUGGACAAUGGGCGAAAGCCUGAUCCAGCAAUGCCGCGUGAGUGAUGAAGGCCUUCGGGUUGUUAAAGGCUCUUUUACCUAGGGAUGAUAAUGACAGUACCUGGAGAAUAAGACUCCGGC
rnacentral:rRNA from 1 species